UUAAAGAAGGAAGAGGUUUUUAUUCGGCCGGGAGCGUCAGCAGACUCGCGUCUUAAGAGCCGAGCUCCCCGAGAAAGAAACUCCUAGCCCUUUUAAGAGCUUACAACUCUAAGGGGUCCACGUGAAAGGGUCAUAAUAGAUCAAGUAAGCGUGAGGAACGUGACUGGGGGCUACACACAUCAGCUAACAGGACAAAAAGUUUUACGGUGCUUUCUCACACAAUGUCUGGAAUUUACGGAUAACACCAGUCGUUUUGGUCAGGGGUUAAUAUUAUUAUUAUCAUUCUAACCACCAGGGCCAGGUGGUGGCGCCAAGGUCGUCUAGCUAUUUAUCUUACUUCUGUUUCUUUCCAGCUUUUUGCUUUCUCCCUUUUCUCCUGUCUUAUAAACUAGGGAAAAGGGGAGGUUGGGGAGAAGCUGGGAAGGACAACAGGAGAAGUGGUGGUCUCAUUCCAUAGCAGUAGCGCUGUCCCCUUUUCCUUCCUGGGCAUCUGAACCCCCU
rnacentral:lncRNA from 10 species